GGACUACAGAAUGUUUUCUUUUAGUCCAUGCUAUGACCUCUUCCUUGUGGUGCUACAGAGGAGAGGAGGAAGCUAAUCUGAAUCCUUUAUACUUCUCUUCUGUCCGGUCUGUGUCGCUAGUUAAGGAACUGUGAAUACUGGAGGACCUGAGCACUAGGACCAUGCCUCAGGACUACCUGGCAUGAUGACUCCUUGCUGUCCCCAGUCCACCUGGCCGUGCUGCUGCUCCAGUUUCAACUGUUCUGCCGGGGCGCCACUCGGCAUUCCACCUGGGCGAGCCUGAUGGGCCAGCCGAGGCACGGGUGCUGGACAAAGCCGGCUGGGAGUAAAAUCCCA